rnacentral:rRNA from 1 species
AUAUGCCUAAAGAAUAGUUUUAAUGCACUGGAUCCCAUUAUAACUCCACAGUUAAGUGCACUCAGGCUAGAGUAGUACUGGGAUGGGUGACCGCCUAGGAAGUCCUAGUGUUUUACAUGCC